CCUUGACAUCCAGAGAACUUAGCAGAGAUGCUUUGGUGCCUUCGGGAACUCUGAGACAGGUGCUGCAUGGCUGUCGUCGGCUCGUGUUGUGAAAUGUUGGGUUAAGUCCCGCAACGAGCGCAACCCUUAUCCUUUGUUGCCAGCGGCUCGGCCGGGAACUCAAAGGAGACUGCCGGUGAUAAACCGGAGGAAGGUGGGGAUGACGUCAAGUCAUCAUGGCCCUUACGGCCAGGGCUACACACGUGCUACAAUGGCGCAUACAAAGAGAAGCGACCUCGCGAGAGCAAGCGGACCUCAUAAAGUGCGUCGUAGUCCGGAUUGGAGUCUGCAACUCGACUCCAUGAAGUCGGAAUCGCUAGUAAUCGUAGAUCAGAAUGCUACGGUGAAUACGUUCCCGGGCCUUGUACACACCGCCCGUCACACCAUGGGAGUGGGUUGCAAAAGAAGUAGGUAGCUUAACCUUCGGGAGGGCGCUUACCACUUUGUGAUUCAUGACUGGGGUGAAGUCGUAACAAGGUAAGCGUACGUGU
rnacentral:rRNA from 1 species